rnacentral:rRNA from 1 species
AAAGCUAUUCGCCAGAGUACUACUAGCAACAGCCUAAAACUCAAAGGACUUGGCGGUGCUUUACAUCCCUCUAGAGGAGCCUGUUCCAUAAUCGAUAAACCCCGAUAAACCCCACCAUCCCUUGCUAAUUCAGCCUAUAUACCGCCAUCUUCAGCAAACA